UACGUAGGGUGCAAGCGUUGUCCGGAUUUAUUGGGCGUAAAGAGCCCGCAGGCGGCUUGGCAAGUUUGAGGUGAAAUCUCCCGGCUUAACUGGGAGGGGGCCUCGAAAACUGCCAGGCUUGAGGCAUGGAGAGGGAUGCGGAAUUCCCGGUGUAGUGGUGAAAUGCGUAGAUAUCGGGAGGAACACCAGUGGCGAAGGCGGCAUCCUGGCCAUGUCCUGACGCUCAGGGGCGAAAGCGUGGGGAGCGAACAGG
rnacentral:rRNA from 1 species